rnacentral:lncRNA from 1 species
GAAUAUCAAUAUUCAACACAUGCAUCUUGGCACUAUUCUUAUCCAGGCCAUGGGCCCAUGCUCAAAACAUUUCCACUAUAGUUCAUUUGUUUUGCAAUGAAACUUGUUUAAAUUUGUUUCAUUUGAUACUAAUUUCUAAGAAACUCCAUGACAUAAUUUGCUUGGCCCCCUUUUCCCAAUCCUGGCUUCGUCCAUGUUCCUAUCCAAAUUCGAUCCAAGAAAAAAAUAACUAUCUAUAUUCGU